UAGUAAUACUCAAAGUGUUGAACAUUUGGUAGUGGUGUGGUGUGGAUGGAAGUUGUGGUAGUGGUUGGUAAGGCAUUUAGGCAAUGGUAUGGUGCCGUGCUUGAGCCAGAGGUGCAAGUAUCUCGACUGUUGCAUUACCUUACCUUUUGCAUUACCAUUACCAAGCAUUUUUUUUUGCAGUGUUUUAUUUUAAUUCUGUUUGGUUUGACCCGUUUGACGUUUGAGUAACCGACCAACUCCAACCGUUCAAUCAUUCGGUCAUUCAGUGUUGAUAAGUUUUCGCCUUUCGGUGAGUAAUAACGGUCGACAGCCGGCAUAUUUGUUUUCUUCUUUUCAAUCGUUAUGGUCGUUCAAUCAUUCAUCAUUCGACGCCGGCGCUAUCAUCAUCAUCCUUCGCACUUGGCAGCUUGGAGAAUCGUAUCGAAGAUAGAAUCAGCUGCUCGUUGCAGCGAAUUCGUAUGGCGUGGCGUAUCGCCGAUCGCGUUGUAGUUUGUAGUUUGUACAGUCUCUGUGGUAAAUGCAAAUGCGGUACCAGCUAAAGCUGUCGCCUCCGCCGCGCCGAUCUGCGGAUCCUGAUGACUGAAGUGAUUCGUCCUGUUCGGCCGUUCCGUCGAGGCGUCCAAAGUCAACUGCGAUAUUCCGGUCCAGCUUUUCGGCAGCGCAACCGAAAGUCGUACUGUUGGCGAUGCGAUGAGGAAAAAGAACGGAGUGUCGAGUAGAUGUGCGGUUGGAUUCGUGGUAUAGCCAUAGCCGGUAGCAGUAGCCUGUUGCGCGUAUCUGCUCGAGCAGAUUAUCGCUAGUCCGAUUUUUCGAUCGUUUGGUGUGAAUUUUUCUAUCGGAAACCGCGAACCGCGAUCGUCCUUUACUCGCCAUUACUCGUUCGUAUCUGACUUUUCCCCGACCGGCUCGAGUGUAAUCGCUUUACGCGUUGCUCGCGGUACUCGCACCUCGCACGUUUUUUGCAAAUACGAGUAACAGCCUGAAGGAUCCCGUAGAUCGUAGUCUUACGGAAGCGUGAGCGUAUCAACCACCGUAGAACGUGUUUUACGCGAUCAACGUUUCAACUUUUGACGCUGAACUGGAGAAAAUAAUAGCGAAAUCGCGACCGAUGGUCGACGGUGUAUCACUGUAUCAGCAGCUGACCACCAUCACAGCCGCAGCAGCAGCAGCAGCAGCAGCAUGUGUGCCUCAUGGGGUGUACCACGAAAGAUGGCUUACCUCGAACGAUGCGGUGCAAUCGCCAGAGGACACGUAAUGCGGAUUACAUUUAGCUUCGUUUCUUUUCGCGUUUUGCGGUGCUGACGGCUGACGAACGGACGAACGGACGAAUGCGGAAUGCAAUCGAAACCCAGCAACCAAAUCUACCAUAUCGCUUCUACAGAUAGGCCGUGACUAGUAGCAUUACUCGAAAUGAAUACUGCUUUACUGGUUAGUAUUGCACCAGUCCCGGCCUGUCUGUGCGGUGCUGUGCUGUGAUGAUGACUGAUGUGUAGUGGACCAGCGCCCAGCGCCCAGCGGACUGGCCGUACCCUCGACGGUUGUUGCAAAUUCAACAACAAACCACCACAGCGCGGACGCGUAGCUGCUUGCUGUGUAGCUGUAGUGUGUAUACUUGUUUGUAACUUGCUAGCAACCUUAUUGUUAAAUUCUGUUGUACUCGUACGUUAUAUAGGCUACUCGUAUGUAACUAAGUGUAAGUACGUACAUCUACAUAGGUUACAUUUAUAGACAUACUGCAUGCGUAGUUAUUCGCCGUGCCGUGUAAUGCGUAUGACGAGAGAGCCGCAGCCGGCUAUUUUAAUGUAGGUAGCUGGGUAGUGGGUGUGGGUGUGGGUACCAAACAAACCAACCAACACCGAGGAAUCGGAAACCUGCAAAUUCACGUCGCAACAUACCCCAUACUGAUAUCACUGACGUGAGCAAACCUGUGGCCGCGGUUUCGGUUACACUUAACACUCGCAGUUGCACUACACUACUAACACCAGUCAGCAUCUCUUGGCAUACGCAAUACGCAUAGCGUAACAACUUAUCGUUAACUACGAAAACGCGAGAUUUAAAUUACGCGAUGCACCCUUACGAGUAUACUCGUAUACUGUAGAGUACAAAGUGCAAGCAGCCCAAGCCAAGUAACGUGGUACUUUAUAGGCUGAGCCGCGUGCAAGUUAUGUUUCUGUUUCGUUCAUAUUGCACGUGCCCCGGCUUAUGACGCUGCGAAUGACGAUUGACGAUUGGCGAUUGACGAUUGAUGGUGUUUCUUCGUAUGUCACCAGUCACCGCCCGCAGAGAUACGACUUACGAGUAUGAUAUUCUGUACUGGGUACUUCGAUAUGUACACUGUACAGGUACUAGGUAGUAGCCAAUAGGUAUAUGUUUGUACAUAGACAUACGUAUUACACGUUCAUCUUUAUUCUUUCGACUGUUAGUGUUAUGUACUUUACUUACGUUUAGACGAGUCAACAUUACAAAGUUCAAAGUUGUCGUAAUAUGUACACGUACACGUACACGUACUCGUCCGUGGUUUCAAUAGAUAUUUUAUUAUUACUCGUAUGUACCAAUAAUUUACCUCGACCGAUCAUGAAAUAGGGUGUCUACAGGACGAAAAACGUAGGAAUUUACCAAAAAAAAAAGUUGGAAAAAACGUCAAAAACUCACGAAAUUUUGAAAGGAUUUGAAUGUUAAUUUGCCGACAAAAUUACCAUAAUGUAUCCUCAAAAUUUUAAUUUUUUCAGUUUUCUCAACUUAUUCGUUGUGUUUGGAAAGUAGUCAGUUUUAAACAAACUUUUUAAAAUGUCAUUAGUGGAAGAAAUGGAUUUUUCAUUCUAAAAUUACUACUGUUUCGCUUCUUGAAACUACAAAUUUAGAAAAGCUUUUGCCCGAGCGAAUUAAGAUUAGAAAAACAGAAUUUCUUACAUUAAAAUUGAUAUUGUUCCGCUUUUCCAACUACAAUUUUCUAAAGCUUCUGCCCUCGCUUAGCUUGGGAUUGUUUUCUUUUCUUUUUCAAAAUUGAAAUUCUUUUUAAAAAAUCGUCAACAAAGUAUUCAAUUUUUAAAGUUUCAAAAUAAAAAAUGAAAUUCUCGCGUACCUACUUCCCGAAAUACAAUAAUUUUUCAAUAGUUUUCGCCUUCACUUGGACCUGUUCUCUGACUUUUUUCUUAUCAAAGUUAACAUCCUAAGAACAUCUUUCCAAUUCUAAAAUUUUAUAAUCCAAAAAACGAACUCCUCGCAUUCAAAAACAUUGUUUUUUUUUUUAUAAUUCUGUCGAAAUACGAAUUUUCCAAAGUUUUUGCCCUCGCCUCGCUCGGGCCUUUCGACCCUUUGCUCUUUUUUUCAACGUCUCGUUUUCAAGUCUUUUGAAAUCAAAUUUUCAAAAACUUUCACCCUUGCAUCGCUCGGCCCGGGCCAAUUUUUUUCUUCUUUUAAAAUUGGGGAAAAAUCACUUUUGGGCCCCCAAAUCAUCAAAAUGGGCAGUUUUUUCGUAGUUCUGUUGACAAGACCACACUGCUCACAACGUUAAAAUUUUGAUUUUUGUAGCCGAAAUGACACGAUACACCCCCUCUCCCCCUAAAAAUAUAGUGUACGAAAAAAAUACGAUAAAAGUACGAAAUUUUGUUUUUUGGAUUUAGUAGACACCCUGUAAAAUGUGUAAUAUUUUUAAUUCAAAGACCGGCCAUCGUGUAUUCGUGUAUUGGUGUAUUGUUCAUCCGUAUGAUGCAACGUCGGUCUGGAGGUACAGUUAGAGUUACGAGUAUCUACUUAGUUAUUUCAUAAUUAUUCUGUAUCAAUCUUCGUACGUACUACGUAUCUACAUGCUAAAUUUAUUGUCUACUGUUCGGUGUUCAUGUUACGUAUGUUGACGGUGCAAAUACCGAAUAGGUACCAAAUAUCAAAUAUACAUAAAUACCUCUUGACGGACUAAUUUUUGUUGUUUAUCACUGUAUCAGUCUCGCACUUAAUUAAUAACGAAUACGAGUUUGUACGACACGUAAUUAGAGAAGCGCAAGCGCGGUAACGUAAGAGUCUCGUCAUUUUGCUGCCGAGUGCUGGUUGUGUCGGUUACUCUCCCAAGAUUUCUUCAUUCGUCAGUCCGGUAGCCGCCAGCCGGGCAACGAGACGAGACGAAGCGAAGCGCAAAUCGCCAACCUGGCGGUUUUAUUUGCCUAUUGCCUAUGGUCGACCAAGACGAAAUAAUUGCUUACGCCUGAUUAUUUAAUAAAAUGUAUUGGAAAAUUACAAUAAUUUGAAAAAUUUUCAAAGGAAUAUUUUUAUUGCGCUUGAACGGCGAAUACACAUAUACAUAUGUAAGUACGAGUAUGAUCACGAAAACGUUCAACGAAACGUUUCGUCGUCGGUCGGUCGGUCGGUCGGUCAACAGACGCGAAUGCGACAAUGCGAAUAUAGGUACUUGUUACUAGACGACAAAUCAAUAAUAAGAAUACAUACGACGUAUCACGUACAGUCGCGCCGCUCAGCGCCUAUAAAUACCACCGAUUACUAAUAAAAUACGAGUAAAAAAAGAAAAGAAGAGAGAAAAAAAACCGUUCGAUAUCAAUAAUUAAAAAUCAAUCUAGACUCGCGUACUAUUCAAAAUAAAUGUAGGUAUGUAAAUAAAUUUUAAUCGACUGCAGUGCAAACCACAAUAAAAUGCUGUAAAAAAAAUAUCCAAUUCACAAUAAAAAGUUACUUUAAAAAAUUUUUUACAAACGAAAUAUGCUAAAAUAAAAUUAAGAUUUGUUACAUAAAAUUCGCACACGUUGUUAGGUUUCGGUUUUCGGCUCGCGGCUCGCGGCUCGUGGCUCUCGGCAAAUGUACAGUAUCACCGAUGUCGAUGUGUGAUGGCGAUGGCGAUGGUGGUGCGAUGAUGACGACGCGACGGGCAAACCGAAACGCACGCAGAUAUACGAACAGGAAUUCAGAAAUGAAAUACACAGGUAAACAGGCAAGUAUAAUAUUGCAACACGUAUUGAAGUUAGAGA